rfam:Chloroflexi bacterium RBG_16_47_49 RBG_16_scaffold_432, whole genome shotgun sequence.
GUUACCCUACUGUGCACGUGUUGUUGCUUUAGCGUUCUGAGCCAACACUUAUACAUGGGGGUCCGAUCUCACGAAGGUGACGCGAUAGGCUAGAGCCAAGGCGGAUCCUUCCGGAAGGACCCCAACCUGCGAAGGCAGGUUCAGAACUUCGCAGCACACGACACGGUGGGGUUCGU